GACACUAUGGCCGAGUGGUUAAGGCGACAGAUUCGAAUAUCUGAUCUCCUGAUCACCAACUCGAUUAUCUGUUUCGGUCUCCGAGCGCAGGUUCAAAUCCUGCUGGUGUCG